UCAUGAUUUCAACAAUGCAAUGUAUCUCCGUUACCGGACACGGUCGCCGACGACAACCAUUGAUUCAAAUAACCAAGAUCUGCUAUGAGU
rnacentral:snoRNA from 1 species